GUUGAUAUAAUUUAAAUGGUUAAAAUGUAUCAUUCAUGAAGAUACUAUGAAGGUUCAAUUCCUUCUAUCAACU